rnacentral:misc_RNA from 1 species
GAUGAAGAACGUAGCGAAAUGCGAUAAGUAAUGUGAAUUGCAGAAUUCAGUGAAUCAUCGAAUCUUUGAACGCACAUUGCGCCCGCCAGUAUUCUGGGGGGCAUGCCUGUUCGAGCGUCAUUUCAACCAUCAAGCCCCCGGCUUGUGUUGGGGACCUGCGGCUGCCGCAGGCCCUGAAAACCAGUGGCGGGCUCGCUAGUCACUCCGAGCGUAGUAAUACAUCUCGCUCAGGGCGUGCUGCGGGUUCCGGCCGUUAAAAAGCCUUAUUUACCCAAGGUUGACCUCGGAUCAGGUAGGAAGACCCGCUGAACUUAAGCAUAUCAAUAAGCGGAGGA